UAAGCAAUGAUGAGAAGUUAACAUUUAAGAAGAUCUAUCAUUUGUUGAUGGGUCUUUAAUGAGAUAUACUUGUUACGCUUGGCUUCUGAGCUUU